rnacentral:rRNA from 1 species
GAUGAACGCUGGCGGCGUGCUUAAUACAUGCAAGUCGAGCGGACAGACGAGGUGCUUGCUCGUCUGACGUUAGGGGCGGACGGGUGAUUAACCCGUGGAUAACCUACCUAUAAGACUGGGAUAACUUCGGGAAGCCGGAGCUAAUACCGGAUAAUAUAUUGAACCGCAUGGUUCUAUAGUGAAAGACGGAUUUGCUGUGCCUUUUGGAUGGAUCCGCGCUGCAUUAGCUAGUUGGUAAGGUAACGGCUUACCAAGGCUACGAUGAGUAGCCGACCUGAGAGGACGAUCGGCCACACUGGAACUGAGACACGGCCCAGACUCCUACGGGAGGCAGCAGUAGGGAAUCUUCGGCAAUGGGCGAAAGCUUGAUGCAGCAACGCCGCGUGAGUGAUGAAGGUCUUCGGAUCGUAAAGCACUGUUAUUGGGGAAGAAAAAAUGUGUGAGUAUCCAUGCACGUCUUGACGGUACCUAAACAGAAAGCCACGGCUAACUACGUG